CCUACGGGUGGCAGCAGUGAGGAAUAUUGGUCAAUGGACGAGAGUCUGAACCAGCCAAGUAGCGUGAAGGAUGACUGCCCUAUGGGUUGUAAACUUCUUUUAUAAAGGAAUAAAACGAGGCACGUGUGCCUUUUUGCAUGUACUUUAUGAAUAAGGAUCGGCUAACUCCGUGCCAGCAGCCGCGGUAAUACGGAGGAUCCGAGCGUUAUCCGGAUUUAUUGGGUUUAAAGGGCGCGUAGAUGGGUUGUUAAGUCAGUUGUGAAAGUUUGCGGCUCAACCGUAAAAAUGCAAUUGAUACUGGCAGUCGUGAGUACAGUUGAGGUAGGCGGAAUUCGUGGUGUAGCGGUGAAAUGCUUAGAUAUCACGAAGAACCCCGAUUGCGAAGGCAGCUUACUAAACUGUGACUGACAUUGAUGCUCGAAAGUGUGGGUAUCAAACAGGAUUAGAUACCCUUGUAGUC
rnacentral:rRNA from 1 species